GCGAAAAACCUUAUCCUGACUCGAUGCACGGUUUAACCGGCGGAACGUCAGCACGCCGAAGGUACACCUGCACAGGUGCUGCAUGGCUGUCGUCGCUCGUGUCGUGAGAUGUUGGGUUAAGUCCUUUAACGAGCGCAACCCCUGUGAUUAGUUGCCAGCGCGUCAUGGCGGGGACUCUAAUCAGACCGCCGGUGUUAAACCGGAGGAAGGCGGGGAUGACGUCAAGUCCUCAUGGCCCUUAUGCCCGGGGCUGCACACGUGCUACAAUGGGGCGGACAAAGCGACGCUAACCCGCAAGGCCAAGCCAAUCCCAAAAACCGCCCCUCAGUUCGGAUUGCGGGCUGCAACCCGCCCGCAUGAAGCCGGAAUCGCUAGUAAUCGCGGAUCAGCUCUGCCGCGGUGAAUGUGUUCCUGACCCUUGUACACACCGCCCGUCAAGCCACCAAAGCGCCG
rnacentral:rRNA from 1 species